rnacentral:rRNA from 1 species
UACGGAGGGUGCGAGCGUUGUCCGGAAUCACUGGGCGUAAAGCGCGCGUAGGCGGCUUUGUAAGUUAGAGGUGAAAGCCCGGGGCUCAACUCCGGAACUGCCUUUAAGACUGCAUCGCUUGAAUCCGGGAGAGGUGAGUGGAAUUCCGAGUGUAGAGGUGAAAUUCGUAGAUAUUCGGAAGAACACCAGUGGCGAAGGCGGCUCACUGGACCGGUAUUGACGCUGAGGUGCGAAAGCGUGGGGAGCAAACAGG